rnacentral:miRNA from 1 species
UGCGAGCUAUAACCUAGUGAAA